CACGAGGCCUCCUAUCAUUUUAUUUUAAAACCUAUUUAUGAGCUAAUUGAGAUAUACGUUCAUUCAAGCAUAUAAGUAGAUUACUUAGUAAAGUACAUAUUUUUUCCAUCCACAGUUUGGGGUGAAUACUGCAAAAGUAAAGUGAAAUAAGGGACUGAGCUGAACUGCCAGCACGUGCUUACCGUGUUCCUUCCUUUAUGACUGGCUGCUGUUCACUGCUGACCGACACCUGCCGAACCACAGCGCCUUCUUCUCACGGGAGAGUCUUCUGAUGUGUGUUCAGUGUUCUCCACAGCGGGCUGAAGAGGCCGGAGUUGUCAGGCAAGAGACUGACUUGUCUGCUUGUACUUGAAAUGGAUUCGAAGAAACACAUGCAUUUGUCGAGGGGAAAACGC
rnacentral:lncRNA from 1 species